UGCAACAACCAUUAGCUCGAUUAACCAAAUUUAACCCAACAAACCAAAUACUCCACAAAAACUAAAUAAAACAUUCUUUCACUUAAUCCUAGUAUGGGCGACAGAAAAGAUAAACGAAGCAAUAAAGAACAGUACCGCAAGGGAAAAAUGAAAAAAAUGAAACACAUUUAAGCAAAAAAAAGCAAAGAUUAACCCUUGUACCUUUUGCAUUAUGAUUUAGCCAGCAACACCUAAGCAAAGAGAACUAAAGUCUAAAACCCCGAAACUAAGUGAGCUACUUAAGGGCAGCUACAUCCAACAUAAAACUAUAAUCAUCUCUGUGGCAAAAGAGUGACAAGACCUUUAAGUAGAGGUGAAAAGCCUAACGAACUUAGUGAUAGCUGGUCGCUCAAUAAAUGAGUAUAAGCUCAACCCUAAACAAUUCAAAAAACAACUAAAAGUUUAUAAGAAAAAUUUAGGAGCCAUUCAAUUAGGGUACAGCCUAAUUGAAACAGGAUAAAACCUAAAAUAAAGGACAAGACACCUAAACCAAAACAAACGUAGGCUUUAAAGCAGCCACCACCAAAAGAAAGCGUCAAAGCCCCACCACUAAAAAUAUAAACAACAAUCAAAUCCUUAAACAACACUGAGCCAUUCUACUAAAAUAGAAGAACUUAUGCUAAAAUGAGUAACAAGAAGACAAACUUCUCUUUUACGUCAGCCUAAAUCAGAAUAGAUAAACUACUGAUUAUUAACAGCCACAAUAAAAAACAAUAACACUAAACACAACAUAUAACACAAACUGUUAACCCAACACAGGAACGUUAAAAUAAGAAAGAUUAAAAUCUGUAAAAGGAACUAAGCAAACAAAGAGCCCGACUGUUUACCAAAAACAUAGCCCCUAGCAACAAUAAGUAUUAGGGGUGAUGCCUGCCCAGUGACACUGUUCAACGGCCGCGGUAUCCUAACCGUGCAAAGGUAGCGUAAUCACUUGUCUUUUAAAUAAAGACUAGUAUGAGAAGGCUAAACGAGGCCCUAUCUGUCUCUUACAGACAAUCAGUGAAAUUGAUCUCCUCGUGCAAAAGCGAGAAUGCAAAUAUAAGACGAGAAGACCCUGUGGAACUUCAAAUAAACUAUCACCUAACACCACACUUACCCAAACGGACCUACAGACUAAUUAAGUACCUGAUAUAUAUUUUUGGUUGGGGCGACCUCGGAGCAAAACAAAACCUCCGACAAAACAAGAUAUAACCUUUUACUUAGCCAAACAACUCAAAGUGCCCAAAGCAAAAUGAUCCAAUAUAUUUGAUCAACGAACCAAGCUACCCCAGGGAUAACAGCGCAAUCCCGUCAUAGAGUCCCUAUCGACGACGGGGUUUACGACCUCGAUGUUGGAUCAGGACAUCCUAAUGGUGCAACAGCUAUUAAGGGUUCGUUUGUUCAACGAUUAAAGUCCCACGUGAUCUGAGUUCAGACCGGAGCAAUCCAGGUCGGUUUCUAUCUAUAACUAAAUCUUUUCCAGUACGAAAGGACCGAAAAGAUAAGGCCCAUGUUACACACCAAGCCUUAAACUCACAUUAGUGAACACAACUAAACUAAUAACAAGAAUCACACCAUAACCCGAAAUAAGGGCUA
rnacentral:rRNA from 1 species